AACGAACGCUGGCGGCAUGCCUAACACAUGCAAGUCGAACGAGAUCUUCGGAUCUAGUGGCGCACGGGUGCGUAACGCGUGGGAAUCUGCCCUUGGGUACGGAAUAACUCAGAGAAAUUUGUGCUAAUACCGUAUAAUGUCUUCGGACCAAAGAUUUAUCGCCCAAGGAUGAGCCCGCGUAGGAUUAGCUAGUUGGUGAGGUAAAAGCUCACCAAGGCGACGAUCCUUAGCUGGUCUGAGAGGAUGAUCAGCCACACUGGGACUGAGACACGGCCCAG
rnacentral:rRNA from 1 species